GCCCCCCUGGCCGUGGGGGGAUUGAAGGAGCCCUGGGCUGUCCAGUGCCAGGAGAGCAGCUCCUGCAGGAGGCAGCAUCUCCCCUGGGUGCUUUGGCAUGUCUGUGCCAGAGGAUUCCAAAAACAGACAUGGAGAAGGUUUGCGAGAAUGCAAAUUCCCAGCCGCUCGAGGAGAGCCUGGAGACAAGGCGCCAAGUGAGCAACACCCAGCAACAUGCAGCGCCUGAGGAGAGCCUGGGCCAGACCUCAUCCCUCCAUGGGGACAGGCUGCCACCACUCCCUGGCCAACAGAGCUUGCAGAGCACCAGCAGCCACCCAACCACUGCACCAAGCAAGGUGGAGCCUCCGCAGGGGUUAGAGAGGAGCCGCCGGGCCCGCUCCCAGCUCAGGGCUUCAUAUGGCAAAGCCAACCUGCCAUGGCAGCUGCACAGCCUGGAGGAGAAGGAGGUCCCACAGCAGGAGGGCCAGGACCAUCUUGCCUCCCUGAUAUGGCUUGAUGGUAGAGCCGGGCAGGGAAACCCAAAGUUGGACAUUGAGAAGCCAGAGCUGACAGGCCUGGAGGGACUGGAAGCCAUCCUAGGCCAGCAGAAGGUGCUGGAAUGGCUUGAAGCCCAUUUCCCCACUGAGACCUGGACCUUGGCCACAAAGGGUGAAGACUGGGACUACACGAUUGACAAAGGGCUGUCCCGUGGGCUGCGGCAAAAGGACCUCGAACAUCCAGUGUCUCCAGCUCCACCUGGUCCCAACAACACCAAGGAUGAGCCAGCCAUGUACCAGAGUCCAGUGCUGCCUCAGUGGGGACAGGCCUGGCCCAGCCGUCCCAGAGAGCAGCAGCCAGGCCAGGCCAGCACUGCCACAACCACCAUCACUGGCUAUGCACUGCAGGCUCUUCCCUGGGAAGAGCCCUUGGUGCCGGCGCUGCAGGCAGGAGCUUACCUGUUGCCCGCACAACCCCUUGGCCAUGGAGCUCCUUCUCCCGCGGCUACUGACGGCCCGGCGCGACAGCAGCAACGCUCCCUCUUCGGGAGGGUGCUCAGGGCUGUGUGCAGGCUGUUCCUUGGAACCUGUGUGCCACCAGAGCAGGAGCAGCAGCGCCGGGCUGCCAGCGCCAGGAAGGUGCCCGGAGGCGACCGUGCUGAGCCUCGGCAGUGUCCAGCUGAGAGCGCGGCACAGGGAGGCACCCGAGCCAUGGCUGCAGGGACGGCGCCUCAGGCAUUUGGCUGCUGCCCCAAGCGCACCCUGCCAGACUGGGCUUACCCAGUGAUUCCUGUGACCAGCCUAUGAUUCCCCUAGAGACACCUUAGGACUGAGGCUGGUUCACAUUUUUAUCACAGUUUGACAAUAGAUAGAUAGAUUAUAUAGAUUAUAAGACAGACAGAUAGAUGGAUAAUAGGUAGAUAGAUAAAUAGAUAGACAUCAAUAAAUUAUAAUUUUUUUUCA
rnacentral:lncRNA from 1 species